rnacentral:rRNA from 1 species
CAAUAGCGUAUAUUAACGUUGUUGCAGUUAAAAAGCUCGUAGUUGGAUUUCUGGAGGGAGCGUCGACCCGUAUUUACGAGUGCGUGACGUCUCUGUCCAUCCUUGCGGGAAGGCACGGCAUUGAUUUGUUGUGUCGGAUCGCAUCAUUUACUGUGAAAAAAUUAGAGUGUUCAAAGCAGGCUUUCGCUUGAAUACAUUAGCAUGGAAUAAUAAGAUAGGACUUUGGUGCUAUUUUGUUGGUUGAGCCUAAAGUAAUGAUUAAUAGGGAUAGUUGGGGGCACCUGUAUUGCGUUGUCAGAGGUGAAAUUCUUGGAUUUACGCAAGACAAACAGCUGCGAAAGCGUCUGCCAAGGAUGUCUUCAUUAA